GCACUGCUGAGGAGUGCCAUAUUGGGACGAAACGGUCGUCCAGUGC
rnacentral:hammerhead_ribozyme from 1 species